AUUGAACGCUGGCGGCAGGACUAACACAUGCAAGUCGAACGAGUGGCGGACGGGUGAGUAAUGUAUGGGGAACUGCCCGAUAGAGGGGGAUAACUACUGGAAACGGUAGCUAAUACCGCAUACCAUCGGAUGAGCCCAGAUGGGAUUAGCUAGUAGGUGGGGUAACGGCUCACCUAGGCGACGAUCCCUAGCUGGUCUGAGAGGAUGACCAGCCACACUGGAACUGAGACACGGCCCAGACUCCUACGGGAGGCAGCAGUGGGGAAUAUUGCACAAUGGGCGCAAGCCUGAUGCAGCCAUGCCGCGUGUAUGAAGAAGGCCUUCGGGUUGUAAAGUACUUUCAGUGGGGAGGCGUUACUCGCAGAAGAAGCACCGGCUAACUCCGUGCCAGCAGCCGCGGUAAUAC
rnacentral:rRNA from 1 species